UCAUAGGGUUGGACUAAUAACCCUAAAUAGACUAAACACAGGAGCCUUAUGACUGAAGGAAAGAGAAUGAUUUUAUUUGUCAUUAAGCUAACAAAAUAACGAAACAUUUCCUUUAUUAAAGGUAUAAUUACAUAAAUAAAUAAAAUUUUAAAAAUUAGUUCGUCUUUUUUAAAUAAAAAAAACUUGUUUGAUUUUUUACUGACAUUUAUGGACAUGCUUCUAAUCCAAUUUAUUUUCAGUAACAAUAUUUUAUAUUUUGAAUUUGUGAAUAGCAUUGUUAACUUAAUCAGAUGAAUGAUUUCUCAAACUUCUUCCUAUUUUUCUGCAAGGAAGAAGUGAAAACUCCCUUAAUUUUUUUGGUCUUAAUGUAUAGGUACAGUAUGUACUUGUAUAUAUAUACAUGUAAUUAU
rnacentral:sRNA from 1 species